rnacentral:lncRNA from 1 species
CACUACCCGAGAAGGGAGUGGGAACGAGAGAUACCCUAGGGACAUCAGAAGAAUAUACAAAAAGGGGACUGGAAGAGUAUACAGAAGGGGAGGCACCAGUACUUGUGUUAGAAGCCAUAGUCAAUGAACCGGCUUAAAUGAAGAAGAGUCUAGAGAAGGGGAGGCACCAGUACUUGUGUUAGAAGCCAUAGUCAAUGAACCAGCUUAAAUGAACAACUUUUUCAACAAACAGAAUACAACCAAAAUAGGUAUCCACAUACAACAACCAACAAAUAGAAUACAUUCAAGUCAGGUAUUCACAGACAACACCAGAUGCUCACAAGUACACAGUCAAAUAAUCACAUAUAAUACCGAAGAUAAGGACAGAGUUACUCUCCUUCUUCGCGACCGGAGAAGAUCGGCCUUCAAAAAACAGAGAAACCCUAUGUAUCAAACCCUAGGUGUAACCUUAAAAGCAACUUUACUGGAAAUGUGGUCAGGAACGUCGGA